UAACUACUCCCUCCGUUCCGAAUUACUCGUCGCAGAAAUGGAUGUAUCUAGAAUAUUCUAGAUACAUCCAUUUCUGCGACGAGUAAUUCGGAACGGAGGGAGUAGCAG
rfam:Triticum aestivum genome assembly, contig: Triticum_aestivum_CS42_TGACv1_scaffold_485760_6AS